UCUUCGGCUUGACAAAGUUCCGGUCUCCCAGACAGGCACGGAAGCGGCUGGUGUAGCAAUACAAUUACGCAGAAAGUGUGGAUAUAAGAGUUUUUUAAACACAAAUACAUAUAGAAAUUUUCAUGUUAUUACAUGGAAACUAGUUGUAAUACAGUUGUGUCAAAUGACUCCCAGUAUACAAUUAUAAUCUGUUAUCUUGCAUAUUAUUAUUUAACACAGACUCAGUUGCAUAUAUCAUAGUGGACUUGGAAGCACCGAACGAGUACGGAUGCUGAUCAAAUUUUUUCUGAUCGCACAGAUCGUGCUGUCGAGGACCGGAUUCGUCAACGCAGGGUCUGAGCAUGCGCUGCAUCAGGCCUAUCUACUGCUACCUCCGGCUGUCUGCCCUGCUGGCUUCAUCGGACAAAACAAGUCGCAGGAAGCUGUACCACGUGCACUGCACUGGGACCACCUGACCAGCACGGUAACGUCGACGGAGACAUCGUGGCACCCGGAUAAAAGCAGCAGCCUUUUCGACGUUCCCUUCAGUGGACUUGGAAGCACCUAACGAGCACGGAUGCUGAUCAAAUUUUUUCUGAUCGCACAGGCGAUCUUUGGAAACUUCAGUGAUACCUGACGACUGGCGAAGGGCCAAAGUAAUACCUGUGCACAAAUCUGGCUCUAAACUCGACAGUUCAUCACUUGUGCAUGUGCAACACAUUGGCGGAGGCAAUACGAACUGCAUUUCUCACUAGCUGGACAAGUCGGAAUGGCAAUGCACCUUGGAGAACAAGACUCGAAUUGUGAAAGUCUGGUGGUUUCACAGAACUUUGUUUUAUGUCAAGAUGGGCUGACACCAUGUCACCUGAUGCUGUCACUCUCUGGUAAGCAUGUUAAAAAAAUAAAAACAAUCCAGUUUGAACA
rnacentral:misc_RNA from 1 species